rnacentral:rRNA from 1 species
AUUCUUCGGAAGAGUGAUUCAGUGGAAAGUGGCGAAAGGGUGAGUAACGCGUGGGUAACCUACCCUGAAGUUGGGGACAACUCUUCGAAAGGGGAGCUAAUACCGAAUGUGGUCCCCCCCCGCAUGUGGGGGAGACUAAAGGUGGAAUCCUUCGGGAUCUGCCGCUUCUGGAGGGGCCCGCGUGACAUCAGCUUGUUGGUGAGGUAAUGGCUCACCAAGGCUUACGUCUAGCUGGUCUGAGAGGAUGGUCAGCCACACUGGGACUGAGACACUGCCCAGACUCCUACGGGAGGCUGCAGUCGAGAAUCAUUCACAAUGCGCGAAAGCGUGAUGAUGCGACGCUGCGUGGAGGAUGAAGGCCCUAGGGUUGUAAACUCCUGUCAUGAGGGAAAAACCGCACGGAUGUAAAUAGCGUCUGUGUUUGAUGGUACCUCAAGAGGAAGCCACGGCUAACUCUGUGCCAGCAGCCGCGGUGAUACAGAGGUGGCGAGCGUUGUUCGGAUUUACUGGGCGUAAAGCGUACGUAGGUGGUUUCGUGUGUCGGGUGUGAAAGCCCACGACCCAACCGUGGAAUUGCACUCGAAACUGCGGGACUUGAGUGCAGAAGGGGAGAGCGGAAUUCAGGGUGUAGCGGUGAAAUACGUUGAUAUCCUGAAGAACACCGGUGGUGAAGGCGGCUCUCUGGAAUGUUACUGACACUGAGGUACGAAAGCGUGGGGAGCGAACAGGAUUAGAUACCCUGGUAGUCCACGCCGUAAACGUUGUGCACUUGGUGUGGGCGGUAUUGACCCCGUCCGUGCCGGAGCUAACGCGUUAAGUGCACCGCCUGGGGAGUACGGCCGCAAGGCUAAAACUCAAAGAAAUUGACGGGGGCCCGCACAAGCGGAGGAGCAUGUGGCUCAAUUCGAUACAACGCGAAGAACCUUACCUGGACUUGACAUGUAACUGCAUGCCCCGGGAAACCGGGGAGGCCUUCGAGGGUGUUACACAGGUGCUGCAUGGCUGUCGUCAGUUCGUGCCGUGAGGUGUUGGGUUAAGUCCCGCAACGAACGCAACCCUUGUGUUUAGUUGCCACCGGUGGUGAUGAGCCACCGAGCACUCUAAACAGACUGCCUGUACAAGCAGGAGGAAGGUGGGGAUGACGUCAAGUCAGUAUGGCCCUUAUGUCCAGGGCUGCACACGUGCUACAAUGGCCGGUACAAUGGGAAGCAAUACCGCGAGGUGGAGCAAAUCCUCAACACCGGUCCCAGUUCGGAUUGGAGUCUGCAACUCGACUCCAUGAAGUUGGAUUCGCUAGUAAUGCCGUAUCAGCUACGACGGCGUGAAUACGUUCCCGGGCCUUGUACACACCGCCCGUCACAUCAUGAAAGCCGUCUGCACCCGAAGUCGCCGAGCUAACCCGCAAGGGAGGCAGGUGCCGAAGGUGUGGGUGGUGAUUGGGAUGAAGUCGUAACAAGGUA